rnacentral:rRNA from 1 species
GACGAACGCUGGCGGCGUGCUUAACACAUGCAAGUCGAACGGAAAGGCCCUGCUUUUGUGGGGUGCUCGAGUGGCGAACGGGUGAGUAACACGUGAGUAACCUGCCCUUGACUUUGGGAUAACUUCAGGAAACUGGGGCUAAUACCGGAUAGGAGCUCCUGCUGCAUGGUGGUGGUUGGAAAGUUUCGGCGUUUGGGGAUGGACUCGCGGCUUAUCAGCUUGUUGGUGGGGUAGUGGCUUACCAAGGCUUUGACGGGUAGGCGGCCUGAGAGGGUGACCGGCCACAUUGGGACUGAGAGACGGACCAGACUCCUACGGGAGGCAGCAGUGGGGAAUAUUGCACAAUGGGCGGAAGCCUGAUGCAGCAACGCCGCGUGCGGGAUGACGGCCUUCGGGUUGUGAACAGCUUUCGCAUGUGACGAAGCGUGAGUGACGGUAAUGGGUAAAGAAGCACCGGCUAACUACGUG